CUCAGGCGCAUGUGAAUUUCAAAUAUACACUGCAAUUUUGUAAUAUCUUGCACAGCUCCCAUGAACCGCUUGCUCAUUUCAAGGCAUUUCAGGGAAGGGGGGAGAAUGGAAUAUGGUCUCAUUCCUUAAGGAGGUUGGGUCUACUUUUGCCCUGGCAAGACUGAUUUCAGGGCAUGUUUUCUUCUGCAUAUCUUCCUCUGACAUAAUAGAUUAUGGGAUCUAAAAUCCGGAUCUCUUCAAAGCUGUUUAUGAGCAGGGUGUGUGCUCUGCUUUGAGGAUUAAGUGACUUCCAAAAUCUUUUCUGUCCGUCUUUCAGACUUCAAGAAUUCGCCAGAAAUGAAUAUUAAAAUCCCAAGAAAUGAAAUGAAGGUGUAGCAAUCGAACUUUUAAAAGAUUGUUGAUGAAUGUUAACGGGCAAGGACAGAGAGGAGCCUCUGCUUCCCGGUUUUCUCUGGAAUGAUACCGCGGGUGGGGCGGUCUUCCACAGCUUCUUGCAUUUUUAAAUUAUGAGAGGCUAUGGAGGAGAGCAGGAUCCACGUGAUGCUCAGCUGCCUCCCGAGAAGCCCAGAAGGGCGGCUGUGAUUGCAUUAGGACGACCAUGGUUUCUGGAAGGUCACACACGCAAAGCCAUGCAUGAACACUGAUGCUCUUAGACACGUUUUGACUUAGUGCCUCCUGCUGUGUAGGCCACAGUCUGAGACCCUUAAAGGAUAUAGAGAAAAUAAGGAAACAAUGUUUUGUUGGAAGACAGAAGACCCAGGCAAGGAGCAUCUGUGUGCCGUGGACCUCACCCCGGAGGGGUCAAAAGACCCAGUUUCCAUUUACAGCGAGGCCUCUGGAUGAAGAAAGGAGGCAUCAGACCCUACUGAGAGACUGCCAUGCAUCACCUGAGGAUCCAGGAACAUUCUACCAAACACAGCUCAGAUUACAGCAUGGCAGUGACCGCUGGUUGUCUAACCCCACAUCUGCUCUCCCCUUUGCCCCAAAUAAUUGAGCUCCUGGUUUUCAGGUGAACCCAGAAUAAUUCUCCCUAGAACAAUUCCAUAUUUGUUAGUCCCCCUUGCAGCUGGGCAUGGCCACCACCUGAGGAGGGCAGGGUCAUGAGUUAGGAAGGGCCUGAGUUAGCCACGAGAGGCAGCCGUGUGACCCUAGACUGCUUACCUCUGGAUUUCUUUUACAUGAGAGAAUUAAACAUUGCGUCCUUUGAGCCUCUGCUAUUGGCGGUUCCGGUUACACGCAACGAGCCCUAAUCAUAAUUAACCCUCGUCAGCUCCGGGCAGCAGAACGGAGGGUCUGCAAUGCAGCGGCCUUAACCACACCAUCAUUCGGGAUUUGUUGAACCUCCCCGUCCUCUCAGACCUUUAAAAAAAUUGAUCAGGCACAUGGCUAUCUAGCAGAUCUCUAGAAUUUAUUCAUCUUGCACAUGCAUUGAAUAGCGACUCCUCAUUUCCCUCCCUCCUCCGCCCCCAGCAAACACCGCUCUCUUCUCUUCUGUGAGUUUGACUAUUUUAGAUCACUCAUGGAAGUGGAGUCAUGCAGGAUUUGUCCUCUUCUGAUGCAGUGCAUGCAAUUUUAAUUUUCGCUUUCA